AGGGUUUGAUCAUGGCUCAGGACGAACGCUGGCGGCGUGCUUAACACAUGCAAGUCGAACGGUAAGGCUCCAGCUUGCUGGGGUACACGAGUGGCGAACGGGUGAGUAACACGUGGGUGACCUGCCCUGCACUUCGGGAUAAGCCUGGGAAACUGGGUCUAAUACCGGAUAGGACCAUGGUGUGGAUACUGUGGUGGAAAGUUUUUUCGGUGUGGGAUGGGCCCGCGGCCUAUCAGCUUGUUGGUGGGGUAAUGGCCUACCAAGGCGGCGACGGGUAGCCGGCCUGAGAGGGUGGACGGCCACAUUGGGACUGAGACACGGCCCAGACUCCUACGGGAGGCAGCAGUGGGGAAUAUUGCACAAUGGGCGGAAGCCUGAUGCAGCGACGCCGCGUGGGGGAUGACGGCCUUCGGGUUGUAAACUCCUUUCACCAUCGACGAAGGGUUUCUGACGGUAGAUGGAGAAGAAGCACCGGCUAACUACGUGCCAGCAGCCGCGGUAAUACGUAGGGUGCGAGCGUUGUCCGGAAUUACUGGGCGUAAAGAGCUCGUAGGUGGUUUGUCGCGUCGUCUGUGAAAUUCCGGGGCUUAACUCCGGGCGUGCAGGCGAUACGGGCAUAACUUGAGUACUGUAGGGGAGACUGGAAUUCCUGGUGUAGCGGUGAAAUGCGCAGAUAUCAGGAGGAACACCGGUGGCGAAGGCGGGUCUCUGGGCAGUAACUGACGCUGAGGAGCGAAAGCAUGGGGAGCGAACAGGAUUAGAUACCCUGGUAGUCCAUGCCGUAAACGGUGGGCGCUAGGUGUGGGUUUCCUUCCACGGGAUCCGUGCCGUAGCUAACGCAUUAAGCGCCCCGCCUGGGGAGUACGGCCGCAAGGCUAAAACUCAAAGGAAUUGACGGGGGCCCGCACAAGCGGCG
rnacentral:rRNA from 1 species